ACUUAAGUGGUUUAAAUUAAAAUAUUGAUUUGUGGUGUCAGUGAUGUAUUAUAUACCUUAGGUU
rnacentral:tRNA from 1 species